UUGACCUCAAAUCAGGUAGGACUACCCGCUGAACUUAAGCAUAUCAAUAAGCGGAGGAAAAGAAACUAACAAGGAUUCCCCUAGUAACUGCGAGUGAAGCGGGAAAAGCUCAAAUUUAAAAUCUGGCGGUCUUUGGCUGUCCGAGUUGUAAUCUAGAGAAGUGCUAUCCGCGCUGGACCGUGUCAAAAUCUCUCUGUGAA
rnacentral:rRNA from 1 species